rnacentral:rRNA from 1 species
AUGUAUCUCUUUUCCCUUAUGUAUUACAUGGGUUUGUGUGAAGAUUACCUCACUUGCGACAUUGCUUUCAAUGUGGUUAUGCCUCUAAGUCGUGCUUCAACACGUGGGAGAUAUAGUCGCAUCGAGGGCGUUACAAUAUCCUCCAUACCCAUAUGGCUCGAGGAGAUGAUCUCCAUGCCAUCAAGUACUUACCCCUCAAGCUCAAAGGGCCAUCUCGGCACUAGCUUAAAAGCCUCCCCGAAAGCUCCAUUGGAAGCUGGGAAGAGCUCGAAAACGCUUUUCGGGAAAAUUUUCAGGGGACUUAUGUACAACCUCCGGAUGCGGAUGAUUUGCGUCAUAUAA